CUGGCUCCUUGGGUGUCCCAGCCCAAGUUGUGAGCAGUUCCUCUUCUAUUUCUGCCCACUGCCCCAUCAUACACAGCAACAGGCCUUGUGUGCACAUAUGGGGGCAUCCUAAGCUGCAUAUCGAAGCUCUAUCUAUACCCCCCUCAUAAAACAUGUGCCUUUGGCACCCUUGGGGACUAUGAGUGUGUAUUCUCUUUGGGUAGCCUGUCCAUGUAAAGACUGAACCAUGAAGAGGCUGUAUAAGGCCUGAAAAAGGCUUAGGGCUGUUUGGAGGGAGAAUUCUAGGGUCUUAGGCACCCUGAGUAUGGUAUAAAAGGGAGUGCUACAGGAACCCUGUGGGCAUGUUUCCUCAGCCCAAUAGACUCCUUGGCCUAUAAAGAGGAUGUAGUCAGAGGAGGGUGAGAGUGAGGAUCUCUAAAGCAGAGAGCCUAGUGCUCUCUUCUUGCCAGGUUUAAAAUGGUAUUGUGCUGGGCAUUGAACAAUGGACCCCUCUCUAUGGAUCCUCCAAAUUCUAAGUAAACUCUACAAAAAUUACGAAAUGCCUGAGUUAUUAGAUUCCCCCCUCCACCUCAGAAACUAGAGAAUGGAUGACCUUUGUUGAUGCAGAAUGACAUAGAGGCCACAUCUGGACACACUGAGCAUCAGGAGCUAGAGGUCCCAGCUAACAAAAUGCCAUCCUGUCUCCCAGCUACUCAAGCCAGAUACCUGAGUUUUUCUUGGUGUCUCCCUGCCUCUCACUGAGCUCGGACUGGGGAACUGGCAAUAGCAGUUAACCUCUGUGGCCAGGAGAGUAUUUCCCGGAUGGCCUGGAUCCUCUUUUCAGUGUUUUACAUGGCUCUUAUUGCACAGUUUAAGGAUGUCCACUUCUUAUUUCUGGGUCUUUUUUUUAUAAAUAAAAGUGGUUCUUGUUUUUUUGCUUCAACUAUUGCUCAAAAUAGUUUGUGACUACUGAGGCCUUCUCCAUUCCCUUGUGUGAGCUUGCAUUAAUGCCUGUGCCAGGGCAACCGGACUAAUGUUUAUGGUAAGGACUCUGGACUUUCUGGGACAGAAUCCCAGC